CAAGUUGUAGCGGCUACUCAACCAGCAGAAUCUUCCUUCUCUUCCACUCUUUUUCCGCGCCUCCGCCGCAGACAUCUCAAUUUCUCUGCCUCUUUGCUGCCUUGCGCGAUGAACCCAGACGAAAGGGAAGCACAAGAAAGAACGCUAGCCAAGCUGCAAUGGUUGAAUGAGCGAAGCAAACUCGACUUCCGCGGGAAUCCGGCACCGUUCGAGACCAAGAAGACGCUGAGAUCUGUCGAGCAAGCGAAGCGGGCGAAGGCGCGCUCACUCGCAGGGACGUCGGACUUUCUCCCCUUCUGGCACGGGACAGCCCCGUUGGCGCUGGAUGCGACCCGUAGCAACUACAUUCAGGUUGACCAAGGUUCAAAACCAUCCUGCAUGGGGUCAGCCAGAGCCUCCUACGGCGCGCAAGCCGUCGACCCUUCUACAGGUCUCACAGAGGUGCAACUUGCGCUGAGCUGGAGCGUUCCGCAUCCUGCGGUUUCAAAGUCACGCGGCGCUGUAGGAAUGAGCAGAGGUGGCGCAUCAGCAAGAGGGCGAUGUGACUCUUUGUAUCUGCAAAGUUUGUCACCCGAGGAGCGGGCGACUGCGUGUCGCGCGUACUUGCUAGAGCACCCCAAAUGCACCCCUGAGAGCUUCCAGGCCCAUCGCUCGAGAUGGGCGGCCUCUACUCAGCUCAGCGCCCCAAUCGUGAAGCUUCCGCCCAAACGACCGCAGAACGCCGCGCUUCAGCGGCCAAACUCGGUGCGCGUUGUUCACCUGCUUCACUCUUUGUGAGGGCUGAAGGUAAGAAAGUGGCUGCCGCCUUCGUCGCCGUGCUGCCGCUGCGUGCUACAGCUUGCUUAGAUAUACAGGUUCUCUAUAGACUCAACGUGUUGAAGCGCCAGCUGCUUCGCUAGCCGUUCUACGCCCACUCCCUUACCUCUCCCUCUGUAUCAGUGUGGCGCGUGCGCAUAAAAGUACCACCCCUUGAUAGAACACUACCCGUCUCGAACUCGAAGGCUGCGCUGACACAAGAACGGCACACGUCGUUGCCACCCUUUUGCGUACACCAUGCUUGCUUGCCCCGAGUACUAAGGUGUGAGUAAUGAAAGGGCGCGGCCUUGUUUUCAGCCGCCACCUCUUUUCCGGCAAACGGAGUGAAAGGCUUGCAGCACCCCGUCAUCUUCCUCGCGUUUUUUCUCACCCAGGCCUUUUGUUGACGCCGACGCCUCUGUUGCAGUUUUUUCAACAGUGCGUUCUUGACGACGGGUCUCUCGCUGUGCUACUCUUUUGCCGUUCUUUUUUUUUGCCCUUUUCGUUCACCAUGCCAUUUCUUCUCGCACUUGCAUUCACGAGCGUACACGCGCAUAG
rnacentral:misc_RNA from 1 species